UGUCUGGUGCCAGCAGCCGCGGUAAUUCCAGCUCCAAUAGCGUAUAUUAAAGUUGUUGUGGUUAAAAAGCUCGUAGUUGGAUUUCGGCGGGUAGUGGUCGGUUUGAAUUGCUUCAACACUGGCUUUUUUACCCGUGUGUUUUGCCAGAAUUUAACGGGUGAUCUUCGCCGAUUGUCCGUUAGAACUGGCAGGUUUACUUUGAAAGAAUUAGAGUGCUCAAAGCAAGCUUGAUUGCUUGAAUAUUCGUGCAUGGAAUAGUAGAAUAGGAAGUCGUUUCUAUUUUGUUGGUUUUCAGAAAUCGACUUAAUGAUUAAUAGGGAUAGUCGGGGGCAUUUGUAUUCAAACGACAGAGGUGAAAUUCUUGGACCGUUUGAAGACAAACUACUGCGAAAGCAUUUGCCAAGAAUGUUUUCAUUAAUCAAGAACGAAAGUUAGAGGUUCGAAGGCGAUUAGAUACCGCCCUAGUUCUAACCAUAAACGAUGCCAGCUAGCGAUCUGCCGGUGCUUGAUUUUCUGGCCCGGCAGGCAGCUUCCGGGAAACCAAAGCUUGUGGGUUCCAGGGGAAGUAUGGUUGCAAAGCUGAAACUUAAAGGAAUUGACGGAAGGGCACCACCAGGAGUGGAGCCUGUGGCUUAAUUUGACCCAACACGGGAAAUCUCACCAGGCCCGGACACCAGAAGGAUUGACAGAUUGAUAGCUCUUUCUUGAUUUGGUGGUGGUGGUGCAUGGCCGUUCUUAGUUGGUGGAGUGAUUUGUCUGGUUAAUUCCGAUAACGAACGAGACUCUGUCCUGUUAAAUAGAUCCAACCUAGUUGUAGGGUUGGAAUGUCUUCUUAGAGGGACUGGUGAUUAUUAGUCACACGAGAUUGAGCAAUAACAGGUCUGUGAUGCCCUUAGAUGUUCUGGGCCGCACACGCGCUACACUGAAGUGAUCAGCUAGUUUUUCCCUCUCCGAGAGGAGCGGGUAAACUGUUGAACCCACUUCGUGGUAGGGAUCGGAGCUUGCAAUUAUUCUCCGUGAACCAGGAAUUCCCAGUAGGUGCAAGUCAUAAGCUUGCAUCGAUUACGUCCCUGCCCUUUGUACACACCGCCCGUCGCUACUACCGAUUGAGUGUUUUAGUGAGGACCUCGGAUUGCUUGCCUGGCGGUUAACGCUGCCUAGCUGGCGAAAAGACGUCCAAACUGUAGCACUUAGAGGAAGUAAAAGUC
rnacentral:rRNA from 1 species